rnacentral:rRNA from 1 species
GACGAACGCUGGCGGCGUGCUUAACACAUGCAAGUCGAACGAUGACGACCGAGCUUGCUCGGUCUGAUUAGUGGCGAACGGGUGAGUAACACGUGAGCAACCUGCCCUUCACUCUGGGAUAACCUCGGGAAAUCGGGGCUAAUACCGGAUAUGAGCUCCUGUCGCAUGGCGGGUGUUGGAAAGUUUUUCGGUGAAGGAUGGGCUCGCGGCCUAUCAGUUUGUUGGUGAGGUAGUGGCUCACCAAGGCGAUGACGGGUAGCCGGCCUGAGAGGGCGACCGGCCACACGGGGAGGGAGACCGGGCCAAGACCCCGAGGGGAGGCAGGGGGGGGAAUUAUUGAAAAAGGGGCGAAACCCGGAGGCAGCGACGCGGGGGGGGGGAGGACGGCUUGGGGUUUGAAACCCUUUUUCAGGAGGAAAGAAGGGAAAGGGAGGGCACCUGAAGAAGAGGCGCGGGAAAACGCGGUC